GACGAACGCUGGCGGCGUGCUUAACACAUGCAAGUCGAGCGAUGAAGUUCCUUCGGGAAUGGAUUAGCGGCGGACGGGUGAGUAACACGUGGGUAACCUGCCUCAUAGAGGGGAAUAGCCUUCCGAAAGGAAGAUUAAUACCGCAUAAGAUUGUAGUAUCGCAUGAUACAGCAAUUAAAGGAGUAAUCCGCUAUGAGAUGGACCCGCGUCGCAUUAGCUAGUUGGUGAGGUAACGGCUCACCAAGGCGACGAUGCGUAGCCGACCUGAGAGGGUGAACCGGCACAAUGGGACUGGGACACGGCCCAGGCUCCUACGGGAGGCAGCAGUGGGGAAUAUUGCAAAAUGGGGGAAACCCUGAUGCAGCAACGCCGCGUGAGUGAUGACGGUCUUCGGAUUGUAAAACUCUGUCUUCAGGGACGAUAAUGACGGUACCUGAGGAGGAAGCCACGGCUAACUACGUGCCAGCAGCCGCCGUAAAAC
rnacentral:rRNA from 1 species